rnacentral:rRNA from 1 species
UGGGGAAUAUUGGACAAUGGGCGCAAGCCUGAUCCAGCCAUGCCGCGUGGAUGAUGAAGGCCCUAGGGUUGUAAAGUCCUUUUAACGGGGAAGAUAAUGACGGUACCCGUAGAAUAAGCCCCGGCUAACUUCGUGCCAGCAGCCGCGGUAAUACGAAGGGGGCUAGCGUUGCUCGGAAUUACUGGGCGUAAAGCGCACGUAGGCGGAUUGUUAAGUCGGGGGUGAAAUCCUGGAGCUCAACUCCAGAACUGCCUUCGAUACUGGCGAUCUUGAGUUCGGGAGAGGUGAGUGGAACUGCGAGUGUAGAGGUGAAAUUCGUAGAUAUUCGCAAGAACACCAGUGGCGAAGGCGGCUCACUGGCCCGAUACUGACGCUGAGGUGCGAAAGCGUGGGGAGCAAACAGGAUUAGAUACCCCGGUAGUCC